rnacentral:rRNA from 1 species
UACGUAGGGUGCAAGCGUUAAUCGGAAUUACUGGGCGUAAAGCGUGCGUAGACGGUUAUGUAAGUCGGGUGUGAAAGCCCCGGGCUCAACCUGGGAAUUGCAUUCGAGACUGCAUAGCUAGGGUGCGGAAGAGGGAAGCGGAAUUUCCGGUGUAGCGGUGAAAUGCGUAGAUAUUCGGAGGAACACCAGUGGCGAAGGCGGCUCACUGGCUCGGUACUGACGCUGAGGUGCGAAAGCGUGGGGAGCAAACAGG